UGGGGAAUAUUGCACAAUGGGCGAAAGCCUGAUGCAGCGACGCCGCGUGAGGGAUGACGGCCUUCGGGUUGUAAACCUCUUUCAGCAGGGAAGAAGCCACAAGUGACGGUACCUGCAGAAGAAGCGCCGGCUAACUACGUGCCAGCAGCCGCGGUAAUACGUAGGGCGCAAGCGUUGUCCGGAAUUAUUGGGCGUAAAGAGCUCGUAGGCGGUUUGUCGCGUCUGCUGUGAAAGCCCGGGGUUAAGCCCCGGGUGUGCAGUGGGUACGGGCAGACUAGAGUGCAGUAGGGGAGACUGGAAUUCCUGGUGUAGCGGUGGAAUGCGCAGAUAUCAGGAGGAACACCGAUGGCGAAGGCAGGUCUCUGGGCUGUUACUGACGCUGAGGAGCGAAAGCAUGGGGAGCGAACA
rnacentral:rRNA from 1 species